GGUCAUCCGCACGGAAUGAAGAAUGCUUUCAUUCAGAGGCCGUCAGGGGAGCCGCGGUUGCUUUUCACAACAGCGGAGUAAACUCUCAGCGCAUGCCUUUUCCCCCUCAAUAGCCAGACAGCCUUGUCUCAGUUGUCUUGUCUCCAGCGACCCAAAGUGACCAUCAGCCCUGAGGGGGGAGCUGUCACAUCCUCCAACAGCUCAGCUGUGUGUGUGUGUGUGUGUUCUGAGUGGUCUUAUAAUUAAACCUUGAAGUCAUGUCAUGCACUGAUUAUAGUCUGAGCCCCCUGUGCCACAGUGUUCCUCGAAGAUAUGCUGCUGUCUUGAAAACAGACUGACUGCAGAGGACACUUUAAGUGUCCCCAGUGGGACUUUUCAGGAAACUUAAUGGAGCAAUCAGCAUUGUUUAAACACCAGUGUUCAUGCUUUUCCUCACGUACUGUCUCCACAGACUGGGUUCAGAUCCAGAAAUCACUCAGAUUUCUGGAGUUAAUUUUCUGGAGUUAAUUUACAUGAUUACUAAAAUUUGAGUGCAUAUGUUGAAUUACACUUGAUUAGAGCUGAACCAAAUGACCACUGUUACUAACAUUUUGUUCUACUGAUUUUGUCUGCCAUUAGUUAAUCAGUUAUCGUUUGCUUUAUGAGCUGUCAUAAGAUUGUGGAAAAUGCCAAAUCUCUUUGUCCUAGAGCUCACGUUGAUGUAUUUGUUUUGUCUAACCAGUGGUCCAACCUUUACUAUUAAAGAAGACCAACAAAACCAGGACACUCAUAAAUUUUUGGCAUUUUUACUGAAGAAAAAUUACUUAAACAAUUAAAUGGUUUUCAGAAUUGUUGAUCAGUUAAUCAGUUAAUUAAUCAAUCAGUUGUGUCGGAUCUUGCUACAAGUGAUGCUAGUCCACGCUGGCAAUACUGACUGACUUGUGACAAGGCACCUUGAUUAAGACUUUUUAACAUCUAUGAUUUAUCAAAGCUGUGACUUUCAAACAUGCAACAUGUCUGCUAUGGGAAAUGCCUGUUUAGUUUUUCCUCUUACAAGUGUAUUAUUUUCACAUAAGGCAAUAAAAUUCAUUCAUGAAAG